AAAGAAAAAAGGGGGAUUAUAAUCCGUGGUCUCCAGAGGAGACUAAGCUGUUGGUGCAACUUCUUGUGGAAGGGAUCAACAAUAAUUGGCGUGAUUCUAAUGGCACAAUCAGUAAAUUAACCGUGGAAACGAAGUUUAUGCCGGAGAUCAACAAAGAGUUUUGUCGUUCAAAAAACUACAAUCACUACUUAAGCAGAAUGAAGUAUUUAAAAAUACAAUACCAAAGUUGUCUUGAUCUUCAGCGUUUUAGUUCUGGUUUUGGUUGGGAUCCUUUAACAAAAAGAUUUACGGCUUCUGAUGAAGUUUGGAGCGACUAUCUAAAAGUAAGUAUCAC
rnacentral:sRNA from 1 species